rnacentral:rRNA from 1 species
GACGAACGCUGGCGGCGUGCUUAACACAUGCAAGUCGAACGAGGCCCCGCCUUCGGGUGGGUGUUCUAGUGGCGAACGGGUGAGUAACACGUGGGCAACCUGCCCCCGGCUCUGGGAUAACUCCAAGAAAUUGGGGCUAAUACCGGAUAUGACCGCUGACCGCAUGGUCUGGUGGUGGAAAGUUUUUCGGCUGGGGAUGGGCCCGCGGCCUAUCAGCUUGUUGGUGGGGUAGUGGCCUACCAAGGCGACGACGGGUAGCCGGCCUGAGAGGGUAACCGGCCACACUGGGACUGAGACACGGCCCAGACUCCUACGGGAGGCAGCAGUGGGGAAUAUUGCGCAAUGGGCGGAAGCCUGACGCAGCGACGCCGCGUGGGGGAUGACGGCCUUCGGGUUGUAAACCUCUUUCAGCAGGGACGAAGCGCAAGUGACGGUACCUGCAGAAGAAGCACCGGCCAACUACGUGCCAGCCGCCGCUGUAAUAC